AGUCUGUUCUGACUGACAGAAAACACGUCACAGCAUCAGCUCCUGCAGUCAGCUGGUUAUACUGACAGGUUUCAGAAAGGCAGAAAGCACAGAUCUUCCUCCAUUAGCAGCACUGAACCCCGUGUUCACUCAUUCUGACAUGCUUUAGUGUGCUUGUCCUCUCUGUUGAUGUGAUUUGUUCUGAUAACAACAGAAAACACACAGAGAAGUUCAGAGGUCAGUCAGUGAAGCAUUAACCGUAAAUCAUCACGGGUUUCAGCUGUGCCUCAGAGCCCAAAGUCCAGCUCCAGAGAGCGAGCUGAUGUCCACUGCAGCGGUGUUUCUGAGCGAGGUGCCGGGAUGGUUUCUGUGGACGGGAGUCUUCGUCCCCGUGACGGCUCUCCUGCUGCUGCUCAUCGCUGUCCUCGGCUGGACACUCAGAGAGACAGAGGAAGAGCUGGCCCUGACACCAGACCCUCGGCGAACAGCCAUUCAUCUGUGUUACGGUCCACGCCGGCGAUGAAGAGCGUCAGUCCAGAUCACACGAGCCGUCAGAGAGCAACGAGAAGCGUGUUAGUGAUGCUCAACUCAAGCCUCCACCUCUCCUCAAACAGCAGACUGGAAGUCCUGAGACACAUGCAUGUUAUUUGG